rnacentral:rRNA from 1 species
CAAAAGCCCGGCCCUCACUUUAACAU